GGGAGCAUAGCUCAGUUGGGAGAGCAUCUGCCUUACAAGCAGAGGGUCAUAGGUUCGAGUCCUAUUGUUCCCACCA
rnacentral:tRNA from 2 species